rnacentral:misc_RNA from 1 species
GAUACCCCAUUAUGUGUCUUCUAUUGUGCGUGGGCGUAUUUUACUCGCAGCCCUCAACUUUUGUUGUAAAUCCCACUUUCUUCAGAAUUCUCUCAAAUUUUUUGAGAAAAACUUUUUCUCUGAAAAUAAUAAAAGCUAAUUCUAGUUGCUAAAACUGCAAUGACAGCCUCAGCACAAUAGAAGACACAUAAUGGGGUAUC